CCGCGUGUAUGAAGAAGGCCUUCGGGUUGUAAAGUACUUUCAGCAGUGAGGAAGGUGGGUAUGUUAAUAGCAUAUUCAUUUGACGUUUAGCUGCAGAAGAAGCACCGGCUAACUCCGUGCCAGCAGCCGCGGUAAUACGGAGGGUGCGAGCGUUAAUCGGAAUUACUGGGCGUAAAGCGCAUGCAGGUGGUUUGUUAAGUCAGAUGUGAAAGCCCGGGGCUCAACCUCGGAAUUGCAUUUGAAAACUGGCAAACUAGAGUACUGUAGAGGGGGUAGGAAUUUCAGGUGUAGCGGUGAAAUGCGUAGAGAUCUGAAGGAAUACCGGUGGCGAAGGCGGCCCCCUGGACCAGAUACUGACACUCAGAUGCGAAAGCGUGGGGAGCAAACAGGAUUAGAUACCCUGGUAG
rnacentral:rRNA from 1 species